UUACAGUUUGGUUUUGGCUGUGAUCUUAGCUGUUCUUUAAAUAAUACAUGAUAAUUUACUGUGUGCCUAUGAGUUACGUGACUAUUUUAUUCAAAAAAUUGUUGAGCUGGUUUUAGUUUUUCUAUAAUACCGUUUUUUUGCAUAACUUCAGUGUAUAAUGUUAAAAAUAAGCGAAAGCUUAAUUUAGUUAAAAGAAAAAGAGUCGGCAAAUUUUGUGCCAGCUGCUGCGGUUAAACAAGAGUCUCUAGUUAAGUCUCUUGGUUUAAAUUUAGUUAAUUUUUUUUUGAUAUAUAAAAAUUUGUUUAUAGGUAAAAUUUGUAAACUUUGUUGGGUUUUCUUUAUCAUUAGAGUUAAAUGAGGCUAUUUGAGGCUCAAAUUAAAACCGGGAUUAGAUGCCCCGUUAUUCUUUGCUGUAAUUUUUUAAAGCCGGGGUAUUAAGAGUUUACUUAAAACCCAAAAAACUUGGCGGUGCUUUAUUCUAUUCAGAGGAACCUGUUCUGUAAGCGAUAAUCCACGUUAAAGUUUACUUCCUUAGAACAUUGUUAGUUUGUGUAUUUCCGUUGUCAGCACGUGUAAAAAAAUUAAUUAUGUGCAACAAAAUUUUUGUUUAGACAUCAGGUCAAAGUGCAGCGAAUUAGGAAGUAGAAAUGGGUUACAUUUUUUUAGUUUUAUGGUUACGUUUGUGGAAGCAAAUAUAUAAAUUGGAUUUGAUAGUAAUUUUUUAUUAGUAUGGAAUUUUGAAGAUUGUCCUAAAGUGUGUACAAAUCGCCCGUCGCUCUUUCCGGUUUAGGAAAGAUAAGUCGUAACAUAGUAAAAGUAGCUGAAGCUGCUUUUAGGCAAAA
rnacentral:ncRNA from 1 species